rnacentral:rRNA from 1 species
ACGCUGGCGGCAGGCCUAACACAUGCAAGUCGAGCGGCAGCACGGGUACUUGUACCUGGUGGCGAGCGGCGGACGGGUGAGUAAUGCCUAGGAAUCUGCCUGGUAGUGGGGGAUAACGCUCGGAAACGGACGCUAAUACCGCAUACGUCCUACGGGAGAAAGCAGGGGACCUUCGGGCCUUGCGCUAUCAGAUGAGCCUAGGUCGGAUUAGCUAGUUGGUGAGGUAAUGGCUCACCAAGGCGACGAUCCGUAACUGGUCUGAGAGGAUGAUCAGUCACACUGGAACUGAGACACGGUCCAGACUCCUACGGGAGGCAGCAGUGGGGAAUAUUGGACAAUGGGCGAAAGCCUGAUCCAGCCAUGCCGCGUGUGUGAAGAAGGUCUUCGGAUUGUAAAGCACUUUAAGUUGGGAGGAAGGGCAUUUACCUAAUACGUUAGUGUUUUGACGUUACCGACAGAAUAAGCACCGGCUAACUCUGUGCCAGCAGCCGCGGUAAUACAGAGGGUGCAAGCGUUAAUCGGAAUUACUGGGCGUAAAGCGCGCGUAGGUGGUUUGUUAAGUUGGAUGUGAAAUCCCCGGGCUCAACCUGGGAACUGCAUCCAAAACUGGCAAGCUAGAGUAGGGCAGAGGGUGGUGGAAUUUCCUGUGUAGCGGUGAAAUGCGUAGAUAUAGGAAGGAACACCAGUGGCGAAGGCGACCACCUGGGCUCAUACUGACACUGAGGUGCGAAAGCGUGGGGAGCAAAC